GCGAUCAUAUCAGUACUAAUGCACCGGAUUUCAUCAGAAUUUUGCAGUUAAACGUGCUUAGUUGAGAGUAGUAUUAAGAUGGGUGACCUCCUGAGAAAUUCUCGUGUUGCUCCU